GUUUGUAAUUGUUUAAUCUUAGCAAUGUUCGAACGUUUUCUGGUAGUUUUACUCAUGCGAGUGAGAGUAAAUUCGAAAGAAUUUAGUUAUUGCGUGCAGGCGAAGAUAAGAAGAAUAGAUACCUUUGAUUCAUUCUUCAUUUUGUAGGUAGUUGUUGAGGUAACGGCUCAACAAGCCAGUGACAAAUAGAAAAGAGCGAAAGCUUCUAUUUCCGCAAUUGGUUUUAAUAGACCGAUGAAUCAGUUUUCUGAUUGCUGCAGAGGAGAAUAUUGGGCAAUGCUCUGAAGAGUGACCCAGCUAACCAGAACUCGAAGUAAAGUAGAGUGUCGUAAGGGAGGAUAAUGACGUUACCUUACUAUAAGUCCAAUCUAAGUCUCGUGCCAGCAGACGCGGUUAUACGAACUGGGCGAACGUUGAAUAAAUAAAUAGGUUUUAAGGAUCUGUAGGCGGCUUGAAAUAUAGCUUGAAUUCAAUGGAGGAAAAUAGAAUGCUAGAAGUAGAGAUGAUAUUCGUUGAUAUCUAGUGGAAUACUAAAGGCGAAAGCAAUUUUCCAAGUAAGAAUUGACGCUGAGAGAUGAAAGUUUGGGGAGCAAAACAGAUUAGCUACCUGAGUAGUCCAAACCGUAAACUAUUUACACUAAUUCUUUGGUAACUACGUAAGUAGAAUAGAAUAUCAGAGAAGAAGCGAAAGGCUGUAUGUGUAACACCUUGUUAGUAAUUUCUCAAGAUUGAAAGCAAAAAGAUUAGACCAUCCUUAAGACCCGGUGUGGAGCAUGUUGUUUAAUACGUCAAUACGCGUAGAACCUUACCUCUCCUUGAAUGUUUCUAAUGUAGAAAUAUAUUAGAUUCACAGGUGUUGCAUGGCUGUCGUCAGUUCGUGUCGUAAGAUGUUAGGUUAAGUCCGCUAACGAACGCAAUCCAUAGUAGAAAUGAAUUCUUUCUCCUGUGAACUUGAUAAAAGUCACUAAAAUGGAAUACGAUAAGCCGUCAUGACCCUUAUGGAGUAUGGGCUACAGACGUGCUACUAAAAUCCAACAAUAAGAUGCGAAAUCGAAAGAUGGAGCAAAUCUAUAAAAUAGGAUUGAAUAAGGAUUGUAGACUGAAAUUCGUCUACAUGAAUCAGGAAUACCGAGUAAUCGUUUAUUAGUACGGAACGGUGAAUUGUUCUAUUAAGGAGAUACUAACUGUCUAUCACAUCUUGGUUAUGUUGGAAGAUGGAACUUGGAAUAUUCUUUUCAAGGACAUUGAAAAUGGAACUGAGGUGAAGUUAUAGCAAGGUAGCCGUAAGGGAACUUGUGGCUGAUGGAUAAAUUUCAAU
rnacentral:rRNA from 1 species